rnacentral:tRNA from 1 species
GCACGUGUGGUGGAAUUGGUAGACACGUCAGCUUCAGGUGCUGAUGCUCGCAAGGGCGUGGAGGUUCAAGUCCUCUCACCUGUACCA